GACGAACGCUGGCGGCGUGCCUAAUACAUGCAAGUCGAGCGAAGCGGGGACGGGUGAGUAACACGUAAGGAACCUCCGAUAAGCGGGGGACAACCUCCGGAAACGGGUGCUAAUCCGCAUACUUAUCGAUGGCCUGCGUGAAUUAGCUAGUUGGGGGGGUAACGGCCUACCAGGCAAUGAUGCCGAGCCGACCGGGAGGGUAAUCGGCCACAUUGGGACUGAGACACGGCCCAAACUCCUACGGGAGGCAGCAGUAGGGAAUCUUCCGCAAUGGGCGCAAGCCUGACGGAGCAACGCCGCGUGAGUGAAGAAGGUGUUCGGAUCGUAAAGCUCUGUUAUAAGAGAAGCGGUAUCUUACCAGAAAGCCACGGCUAACUACGUGCCAGCAGCCGCGGUAAUAC
rnacentral:rRNA from 1 species